rnacentral:lncRNA from 10 species
CAGGGUCUCACUCUGUCAUCCAGGCUGGAAUGCAGUGGCAAAAUCAUGGCUCACUGCGGCCUUGAACCCCCGGGAUCAAGCAAUCCUCCAGCCUCAGCCUCCCAGGUAGCUGGAUCAGCAGAUGCGCACCACCGUGAUCAGCUAAUUUUCUUCAUUUUUUUUGUAGAGUUGAGGUCUCACUAAGUUGCCCAGGCUGGUCUGGAACUCCUGGACUCGAGCAAUCCCCCCGCCUUGGCCUCCCAAAGUGCUGGGCUUACAGACAUGAGCCACCGUGUCCAGCUGACAGGAGGUCUUAACAUCCUUGUUUUUCGGACGAGGAAACUGAGGCGUGGAGAGGUGGAGACUUACACAAGAUCAUAGAGCGAAUAGAGGGCAGAGCUGGAGUCUGAAGUCAGUCUGACCGACCAUGAAACUCACAUGUCAUCCUGACACCAUUCCAAUCCUGUGAGGGGAAGAUUCCAGAGCAGACAACUCAG